AAAUUGAAGAGUUUGAUCAUGGCUCAGAUUGAACGCUGGCGGCAGGCCUAACACAUGCAAGUCGAACGGUAGCACAGAGAGCUUGCUCUCGGGUGACGAGUGGCGGACGGGUGAGUAAUGUCUGGGAAACUGCCUGAUGGAGGGGGAUAACUACUGGAAACGGUGGCUAAUACCGCAUAACGUCGAAAGACCAAAGAGGGGGACCUUCGGGCCUCUUGCCAUCAGAUGUGCCCAGAUGGGAUUAGC
rnacentral:rRNA from 1 species